GGCCGCGAAUUCGCCCUUAGGGUUUGAUUAUGGCUCAGGAUGAACGCUGGCGGCGUGCCUAAUACAUGCAAGUCGAGCGAAUGGAUUAAGAGCUUGCUCUUAUGAAGUUAGCGGCGGACGGGUGAGUAACACGUGGGUAACCUGCCCAUAAGACUGGGAUAACUCCGGGAAACCGGGGCUAAUACCGGAUAACAUUUUGAACUGCAUGGUUCGAAAUUGAAAGGCGGCUUCGGCUGUCACUUAUGGAUGGACCCGCGUCGCAUUAGCUAGUUGGUGAGGUAACGGCUCACCAAGGCAACGAUGCGUAGCCGACCUGAGAGGGUGAUCGGCCACACUGGGACUGAGACACGGCCCAGACUCCUACGGGAGGCAGCAGUAGGGAAUCUUCCGCAAUGGACGAAAGUCUGACGGAGCAACGCCGCGUGAGUGAUGAAGGCUUUCGGGUCGUAAAACUCUGUUGUUAGGGAAGAACAAGUGCUAGUUGAAUAAGCUGGCACCUUGACGGUACCUAACC
rnacentral:rRNA from 1 species